ensembl:lncRNA
AUCCAGAGUGUGCGCAGGCGGGAGGUCUCGCUAGUCCGGCGGUCAGCCUAGCAGCGGGUGGUCCUCUCAGAGAGCUCCAGAGCCCUCGUCCUGGCCUCCAGGCAGAGGCGAACCUUUCCCUGACCUCCGCCUCCUCCACCUAAUGGCCGCCGUCUCGGAACCUCCUGAUGUCCUCAGAGGACGGCAUAAAUGACUACUAUUGUUGGGGGGAGAAGAAGAUCAAUGAUGAAUUAAAGCUAAAAUGAUCACUUUGUCAUAUCCUGUAGGUGAUUUUUAAUAGCUAUUCUUGCUGUAUUGAAAAUGUGGUCAAAAGCCAUUCUGGAGUAUUAAACCGUUG